GGAAAAUCCGUUGAUUUUAGAAAUCUUGAGGGUUCAAGUCCCUCUAUCCCCACA
rnacentral:tRNA from 1 species